CAAAUCCCCUGCGCCGUCGCCCUCGAUCCGUCGCCAUCGUCCCCAGCCAAAGCCUCCGCCCUCGCGCCCCCGCCGAAUUCACACCAGAACCAUCCUGCCGCAGCUCCCAUCGCAGCAGCUCACGCCCGCCUCUCCAGCCCGCCGACCAGGUGCCAACCGCCGCAGGAACCGCCGCAGGAACAAGCUGCCCGCCUCUCCGACCUCGUCUUCACCGCUCACUCCUGCAGAAGCUCAAGAUGACGUACUAUGUCGUCUACCACGGCAGGGUUCCUGGAGUCUACGAGGACUGGGAAGACUGUAGGAGGCAGGUCCACCGUUUCAGCGGCAACAGCUACAAGGGGUACACCACUUUGGAGGAGGCGGAAACUCGAUACGCCAACUUUCGAGCGGGACAGAGGAGGGAGAUGUGGAGGACCCCUUUCAUCGUGAUGAUGCUUGCCGCCACCGCCUCUCUAGUUUAUUAUGUCAUUGUUGUUUAGCUAGGUCAUCGACACUGGACUUAUAUGUAUUUCUGUAACAUGUGCUACUUCGAGUCGUGAUGUUUGAA